AGAAUCAACGCUGGCGGCGUGCCUAACACAUGCAAGUCGAACGAGAAAGUGGAGCAAUCCAUGAGUAAAGUGGCGCACGGGUGAGUAACACGUGACUAACCUACCCUUGAGUGGGGGAUAACCUAGGGAAACCUGGGCUAAUACCGCAUAAUACCUUCGGGUCAAAGGAGCAAUUCGCUUAAGGAGGGGGUCGCGGCCAAUUAGUUAGUUGGCGGGGUAAUGGCCCACCAAGACUGUGAUCGGUAUCCGGCCUGAGAGGGCGCACGGACACACUGGAACUGAAACACGGUCCAGACUCCUACGGGAGGCAGCAGUGGGGAAUUUUGCGCAAUGGGGGAAACCCUGACGCAGCAACGCCGCGUGGAGGAUGAAGCCCCUUGGGGCGUAAACUCCUUUCGAUCGGGACGAUAAUGACGGUACCGGAAGAAGAAGCCCCGGCUAACUUCGUGCCAGCAGCCGC
rnacentral:rRNA from 1 species